GUUUUAAGUUCUACUCGUAUAUACAUAUGUAAUUGAGCUGUGAAAUUGCACUUAUUUAUUGCCUAUGAAGUAUUCUUAUGGAAGGCAUACACGCACCAAUUUUUGUACCAAUUUCAUCAAAUUGUACAACUAAUUGUUACGUAUGUAUGUAUAUGGGGCAGUUGUAUGAGUUGUACCAACUGAUUGAAUGAAAAUCAAAAUGUUUUCAUAUUUUGCAAGUUGGCUGUGUUAGUUGGAUCGUGUUUGGGUUGGUCGUGCGAUUUCAAACGAUUUCGCCAUUUUAUUUCGGCUGUCGAAGAGAGCGCGUCAUAUGUAAAAAUUACCGUUCCUCUGUGUUCGCUUACAAGAUACAUAAAUGGACUUCGAGAAAAUAGUUUUGAAGAAAGUGAUGAAAAAUGGACAAAAGAAAUUAGUUCUGAUAUGAGUAAUUUAGGUUCCGAGGAUUCUUAUUUGCAAUCCGAUCAUGCUACCAAAUCAGAAAUUGAUGCAGAAGAUGAAGAAAUUGAAAAUCCGCACUGUUGAUAUUCAAGGUACUAUUUGUAUGAUAAAAUUGUAAAAAUAAGGCGGAGAUAUGAAAAUGCAGCCAAUCCC